rnacentral:lncRNA from 1 species
GAGAUGUUAUAUGAUAUUAUCGAUUAUUUUGAUAUAAUUAAGUAUCUGAGAUUUUUAAAUCAGAUUACUGUUAAUACUAUAUUACCAAAUUUGAUUUAAUACAAUAAUAUCAUGCGUAUGUUAAAUUAUUAUAUUUAAUUUAAUUUAUAAAAUUCAGCAAUACUGACAAUAGUCUAUUUCAAAAUUAUUCUUAUGAUCAUAUUUAAU